GUUUAUGUUACUUUUCAAAGAUCAACAACAUUUUAGAGUAGGUCACCUGUUCUUUACUAGGAUUUAAUAUCACAGGUUUAGGUCACUAAGAAGAAAUCAUCAUGACGCCAUAUUUUGGAGAUUUUAAAUUACAUUGCGUAUUACUUGUAGUGUACCUAGCUGUACUUUUCAAUUAUAAAAUUUUCCGUAUUGCAGUUCAAACUAAUUCAUCAUCUAGUUAGUGCUUCUACGAGUACCUAAUUGACAUAACUAGGAGUCGCGUGUGGCAACUACAUAAUUGUUAGCUUGCAAGUUGUCAGACAUAAUAACUUUUUUCUCUCAUAUAAAUUACUGGGAACUAACAACAAUCUACAAACUGUUGUAGGAAACUGAAAAAAAUAUAGACAAUAUCCAAA